GGAAAUGGAGCAGAAAUUGGGGAAAUUGGAGAAAUUGAUUGAGGAGAAAAUAUACAAGUUGAAGAAUUCAGUUCCUGGGAAAAGGGAAAUGUUAAAGUCUUUACUAAUGAAGAUGCAAUGGACAAUGAUGUCAGGGAACAUAUAACUGAUGAAGGUGAACUUCACGGAACUUCUGAAAAGUCAAGUGAGGAACAAGAUGCUCCCAAUAAGCAUGACAGGGAUUCUGAGGAGCAGAAUGAUGAAGACGCUGAUGAUG
rnacentral:misc_RNA from 1 species